GACCUUGCUUAUUAUUGUGUUUGAACAAAUCAUUCCACGGAUGGGUUGCAAGUACGUCUUGGGCCAGCUGAGAGAUCUGAAGUCCAGGGUAUUGUUUUCUCUAACAAUUUCAACUGCCUCUGGAGCUGAGCAAUGUGAUAACCAGCAGAAAAUGAAUGUGCUGAAAAUGGAUCAUUAUCUCCACCUUCAGAGCCAACAACUGGCUCUGAAGUUGAGAUAAUGAAUCCAUUAAGAACAUCAUUUCUGCUGUUAUCACAUGUUGCUCAGCUCCAGAGGCAGUUUGAAUGGAGAGCAAAACAAUCCUGGACUUCAGAUCUCUCAGCUUGGCCAAGACGUGAUUGUCAACCCAUACGUUGGACUGAAUUUGUCAAAACAAUAGCAAGGUCUUCAGCAAAAGUGCUUCGAUUACGAGAUUCGAGUGAAAUGUUGAUCAAUGUGGAACCAUAACACACAUCCCCACCACCACAACAACAACAGUGUCCUCAGAUCACUACUCCUACAGCCACGUAUACAACCUCAACAUCGACAGCUCCACCUACAAAAAAACAACAACUCCAACUCCCAGCUCUAUACGACCCCAACCACGACUCCUACAGUACUAAAAGGAGUAACACCUACCCAAUGCAGUGGUGAAGAAAAAUGGUGUGGUCAGACUGGAUCAACCUUGGCAGGCCAACGCCUGGCACUGAGUGAGAUAAUGAUACAUUAGAACACAUUUCUGCUGGUUAGCACAAUUUGCUCAGACCCGUCCAAAGAAAAGAAGAAACAAGGGCAGUUGAAAUGUGAUGAUCAAAACAAUACCCUGGACUUCAGAUCGCUCAGCUUGGCCAAGACAUACUUGCAACGCCAUCUUGUUGGACUGAUUUGUCCAAAAACAUAAGCAAGGUCUUCACAAAAAGUGCUUCGAUUACGAGAUUCGAGUGAAAUGUUGUCACUGUGGAACCCAACACACAUCCCAACCACCACCACAACAACAACUUUCCUCAUAGCACACUCCUACACCCACUACUACAACCUCAACACGACAAGCUCCACCGUGACAACACAAACAACACUCAAGACUCCCAUCUCUAAGUACGACCUCCAAACACUACUCCUACUCAACCUCAACAGGAUUAAACACCGACCCAAUGCAUGGUGAAGAAAAAUGUGUGUGGUCAGACUGGAUCAACAUGGUCAUGCCAACAACUGGCUCUGAAGGUGGAGAUAAUGAAAGCCAUUAAGAACAUAAUUUCUGGGCUGGUUAUCACAUUUGCUCAGCUCCAGAGGCAGUUGAAUGUAGAGCAAAAACAAUACCCUGACUUCAGUCUCUCAGCGGGGGCCAAGACGUGACUGCAACCCAUCCGUUGGACUGCGUUGUCAAAACAAUAAGCAAGGUCUGCAGCAAAACUCUUCGAUUACGAGAUUCGAGUGAAAUUUGUCAUGUGGAACCACAACACACAUCCCAAUCCACCACCAAACAACAACAGGUUCUCUAUCACGACUCCCUACACCCACCUACUACAACCUCACAUCGACAGCUCCAACUACAACAAAAAUCACCAACUCAGACUCCCAGCUCUAGUACGACCCCAACCACUACUCCUACAUCAACCUCAACAGGAGUAACACCUCACAAUGCAGUGGGGAAGAAAAAGGUGGUGUGGUCAGACUGGAAUCAACCUUGUCAGCCAACGCCUGGCACUAAG
ensembl:lncRNA